AGUGAACGCUGGCGGUAGGCCUAACACAUGCAAGUCGAACGGCAGCACAGUAAGAGCUUGCUCUUACGGGUGGCGAGUGGCGGACGGGUGAGGAAUACAUCGGAAUCUACUUUUUCGUGGGGGAUAACGUAGGGAAACUUACGCUAAUACCGCAUACGACCUACGGGUGAAAGCAGGUGAUCUUCGGACCUUGCGCUAUUGAAUGAGCCGAUGUCGGAUUAGCUAGUUGGCGGGGUAAAGGCCCACCAAGGCGACGAUCCGUAGCUGGUCUGAGAGGAUGAUCAGCCACACUGGAACUGAGACACGGUCCAGACUCCUACGGGAGGCAGCAGUGGGGAAUAUUGGACAAUGGGCGCAAGCCUGAUCCAGCCAUACCGCGUGGGUGAAGAAGGCCUUCGGGUUGUAAAGCCCUUUUGUUGGGAAAGAAAAGCAGCAGGUUAAUACCCCGCUGUUCUGACGGUACCCAAAGAAUAAGCACCGGCUAACUUCGUG
rnacentral:rRNA from 1 species